CGACCGGCGCACGGGUGAGUAACACGUAUGCAACCUGGCCGUCACAGGUGGAUAACCGGAAGAAAUUCCGACUAAUACAGCAUAACACUCCUGAGGGACAUCCUUCGGGAGUCAAAGGAGGCAACUCCGGUGACGGAUGGGCAUGCGGCGCAUUAGGUAGUUGGUAGGGUAAUGGCCUACCAAGCCGACGAUGCGUAGGGGUUCUGAGAGGAAGGUCCCCCACAUUGGAACUGAGACACGGUCCAAACUCCUACGGAAGGCAGCAG
rnacentral:rRNA from 1 species